CAAGGUGUAGCUACAACACAAAGCAUUCAGCUUACACCUGAAAGAUAUCUGUUACCUACCAGAUCACCUUGA
rnacentral:tRNA from 1 species